GAAAGAGAAGAAUUUGACCUUUGAGAAACACCUUAGGACCUAUUGUUUUUCAUCUCACUAUGUGCUCACUUUGCUGACAGACGGAUACAAGUUUGACAAAGAAACGUGGAAAAACAUUCACUUCCAAAAAGAGGUAAAGGACACCAACAUUGGCUGGAGUUUGGGUUACAUGCUGAGUUUGUCCAACAUGAUCCCGUCUGAAGUGAAAGAAAUCCUCCCCAUGACAGAUCCCCUGUUUGCCGGUCUUAUCUUUCUAUUUUCAGCACUCAUCAUCAUAACUGUUGUUUUAGUUUUCAUCUUCCUCAUUCGCACCUGCUACUGAGAGAAGUGCGAGAAAGGGAAUGGCCAUUGGAAGACUUGUGGGUUGCUGUUAUCCUUUAACUAGAAGGAGAGCACUACAGCAGCAUGUGCCUGCCAAGACAAUUGCACCGACAGUAACUAAGGGGAAUUUUCUAGUUUGUGCCAUUAACUGCCAUCUGUGUCAAUUGUGAGGGUUUAUAAAAACGUAAGAGACUCAAAAAUGAAAUAAAAUAAUCUCCAGUGUAUCCCGUUAGUGACUUUGAAUAGACUGGUUAUAAUAAAACGGUAAAAAACGUAUCCAAAGAAGACUUUCAAAAUGUUACAAUUGACACACACUCUCAUAGGUUAAGUAAUAGGAUGCAAAAACGGGUGACACAGUGGUCUAUGAAUGCUGCAGAGAUAAUGAAAGAGCUCCCGGGAAUUUCGACGUGCCCGUUCUUGUCGAACAUUGUGUAAAAAAAAGAAAGAAGCAUGAGCUACUGAAUGACUGAUUGAUUAUGUUGAUUCCCCUGUAUUAUACUGUAUUAUAUGUAGUUGCACUGUAUGGUUCCACUUUACAAGCUAAAUGGUAGCACUUUGCCAAGGCCAGUGUUUUAAAGAUAUACUGUACACAACACUGUAAUCCUGCUAAUAAUCUUUUUUUUAUAUCACAUAGUGAAUGACCUCAUUGAAAACCAGUGGUGCGCAUCAACACUCCCCAUUUAAUGAAUGAAAACCUCCCUAAUAAACAAUGUAUUCAAUGUGCUAUGUGCAAUUGUCUCAUUAUGAUUUAGCAAAUACAUGUUCCACAUAUUGAUUUUUCUAUUUGCUAAAUAUCAAUUUUAAUCAUAUUUUAUAAUAAGUAAAGGAAAGCAGUCAACUGUCACUUAUUAAUUUUUACAAUUAGUCUUUGUGUUGUUUUAUCAAUAACAAAGCUUGGGGAGUAACGGGCGACAUGUAACAAGAUUACGUCAUCAGGAUACUAAAAGAAGGUAUCUGAAUUAGAUUACAAUUACUUGCGCAAAAAAAGAUUAGUAGCAGGAUUACAGUGUUAGAAUACAUUUUGAAAUAAAUAUAAAUAUAUUAUAGGUAGACGCACUGAAUUAAUGUUCUUUAUGAUCUGAUUUCUGAUUUAUUUGAAUUAUUCUUUAUUUUAAAUACAUUUCCUAUUUAAUGCAGUAGGUGGACACCUGAUUUAUUAAACACAAUUACAAUCUAUGCUUUUGAUUAAUGUAUGAAGCUUAAACAGCAUUUCUAAACUAUUACUGUAACUACAUUUUUUAUGUCAAAUAUCUUGGUUUCUUGUUUUUUAAGGUAUCAUUGUUAAAUACACUUAAGUAAAGAACACCUUGUUGUUA